rnacentral:sRNA from 1 species
GUACUUUGUACAUUGGGAAGCUCUUUCCAGCUCUGGACAGGAAAACAUGAAAACAGAUGAUCCCAAGUAGGUUUCUCCCUAAACUAACAAUUAUUUUUAUUUGUUGAAACUGGUAAAGCUUCUACCUUGAGUGGGUCCGGGUUGUUUUAAAAUUUAUCAGACCACAUUGGUCUGAUAUUGUUUCCUUCAUUUAAUUUGAAAAAGCUUGUUUAAAAUAACUGUUUGGAGAUGGAAUAAUUUUUUGGUUUUAUGAAAAUUUAAAGGAAUUGUAAAAGAAUCUAAGACAUGGUUAUGGAAUUGCAGUCAAGUUUUUCUGGUGAUUUUGACUGAAAUGCAACUGCAGAAGCAACAUGCGACCUUUUAAAGAUGCUUGUGGGACUGCAUAAAGUGAAGAGGGAAACUGGAAAAAACAAUGAA